rnacentral:rRNA from 1 species
GACGGAGGAUGCAAGCGUUAUCCGGAAUUAUUGGGCGUAAAGAGCUCGUAGGCGGUUUGUCGCGUCGAAUGUGAAAACCCGGGGCUCAACCCCGGGCCUGCAUUCGAUACGGGCAGACUAGAGUUCGGUAGGGGAGUCUGGAAUUCCUGGUGUAGCGGUGAAAUGCGCAGAUAUCAGGAGGAACACCGGUGGCGAAGGCGGUUACCUGGAGCUUUGCUGACGCUGGAUGCGCGAAAGCGUGGGGGAGCGAUCCG